AGUGAACGCUGGCGGUAGGCCUAACACAUGCAAGUCGAACGGCAGCACAGUAAGAGCUUGCUCUUACGGGUGGCGAGUGGCGGACGGGUGAGGAAUACAUCGGAAUCUACUUUUUCGUGGGGGAUAACGUAGGGAAACUUACGCUAAUACCGCAUACGACCUACGGGUGAAAGCAGGGGAUCUUCGGACCUUGCGCGAUUGAAUGAGCCGAUGUCGGAUUAGCUAGUUGGCGGGGUAAAGGUCCACCAAGGCGACGAUCCGUAGCUGGUCUGAGAGGAUGAUCAGCCACACUGGAACUGAGACACGGUCCAGACUCCUACGGGAGGCAGCAGUGGGGAAUAUUGGACAAUGGGCGCAAGCCUGAUCCAGCCAUACCGCGUGGGUGAAGAAGGCCUUCGGGUUGUAAAGCCCUUUUGUUGGGAAAGAAAAGCAGCAGGUUAAUACCCCGCUGUUCUGGCGGUACCCAAAGAAUAAGCACCGGCUAACUUCGUG
rnacentral:rRNA from 1 species